UCCUAGUACGAGAGGACCGGAGUGGACGCAUCACUGGUGUUCGGGUUGUCAUGCCAAUGGCACUGCCCGGUAGCUAAAUGCGGAAGAGAUAAGUGCUGAAAGCAUCUAAGCACGAAACUUGCCCCGAGAUGAGUUCUCCCUGAGACUUAGAGUCUCCUGAAGGAACGUUGAAGACGACGACGUUGAUAGGCCGGGUGUGUAAGCGCAGCGAUGCGUUGAGCUAACCGGUACUAAUGAACCGUGAGGCUUAACCUUACAACGCCGAAG
rnacentral:rRNA from 4 species